UCAGUAUCAUUCCAGUAUGGCUUUCACAUGUCACUGCGGUGUGGAACUUACAGGAGUUAUACCCCUGUUUCAGCACCUGAGGCGGUGCGUCAAGCGCCGCCUCUUUCUUAUAAUAUAUUGUGACAAAUGGUAAGUGUGCAGUGCUCCUAGUAUGGCUUUCACAUGUCACUGCGGUGUGGAACUUACAGGAGUUAUACCCCUGUUUCAGCACCUGAGGCGGUGCGUCAAGCGCCGCCUCUUUCUUAUAAUAUAUUGUGACAAAUGUGGAGAAAGGCUGGUGGGAGGCCAGGCCGUGGCCGCACACCUGGCGGGUGCGGCCCAUCGAACCCGUUACUGGGAGGGCCGGCAAGUCGGGCUGCUGUUGCAGUCCGACUACCGGGACGCCAUGGAGCGUAUCCGGACCCUAUGAUGAUGAUGUAUGUAUGAAGGUCUGGAGCUAGCUGCCGUCUUCGGGAUGUGCCAUUUGUUUUCAAAAUUAUUUGUAAGUACUUGUAACAGGCGUAGUGUAGUAACUGUGUAUGCAGUGUAGUAACAGUGUGUAGUGUUUUGUGAUGGUCCUGAGCGGUCGUAAUGUGUUUUGUGAUGGUCCUGAGCAGUCGUAAUGUGUUGGGCUACUGAAGUACACUGCAUGAAGGGGUAUGCG